UACAGAGGUGGCAAGCGUUGUUCGGAAUUACUGGGCGUAAAGGGCGCGUAGGCGGCUCGACAAGUCCCACGUGAAAUCCCUCGGCUUAACCGGGGAACUGCGUCUGAUACUGGAUGGCUUGAGUUCGGGAGAGGGAUGCGGAAUUCCAGGUGUAGCGGUGAAAUGCGUAGAUAUCAGGAGGAACACCGAUGGCGAAGGCAGAUCUCUGGGCCGUAACUGACGCUGAGGAGCGAAAGCGUGGGGAGCGAACAGG
rnacentral:rRNA from 1 species